GUUUUUCCCCCAGUCUAUCCUGUGAUGUCUGCUCCUGUUAUUUUCCCUGGUCAGCGUCGUUGUUGUUUUGCCACAGUUUGUCCUUUUGCCCCUGGCUCUAGUUUUUUCAGUUUAUCGGUUUGCUACAUGUCAUGGACACCUUUAGUUGGAUUUUGUUUUUUUCGUUUGAAACAUCCAAUUAAAUUUGCAGGUAUGCCUGCCGGGAAUCCCGCCUCAUGAGGGAUUUUCAUCAGCAGCACCCUGACCAACCCACUAGGACCUUGGCUGCCCCUAUGAAUCCCCGGUGGGAGGCUCCCCCUGCUCCUUCUCUUGAAACCCCGAAUGAAGAGGAACCAUCCUCGUUGGGGGAAGGAGCAACAUCUGACGGCGAGGGACGUUCUAACCACAUUCAUCCACCUCUACAAUAAAGGAGACUGCACAGUGGCACAACUGUUGUUUGUGUGUUCUGACCGACACUCAGUGGUGAGCGUCACUCAUCCAAUCAGCCAGUUCAGACAGAGCUGUAAACCCUCAGCUACAGUUGGCCUUUCAUAAUCCCUCUGAGGCAGCAGUUAAGGUUUUGUCUUUAUCCUCAUCACCACCACCACCACCACCACGACCCCGUGAUGAAGAAGAACAUUCUGUGUCAGUAAACUUUAAACCAUAUUUGGCAACAUUUCUGGAGUAUUAGGUACCAUCAGCGACUGUUGAGAGAUAAGAAAAGGGCAUAAUCGGGAAAAGGAAUAUGAACUUAUAACACUUACAUCUUAUGUAGCCACUGGUGUCCUGGGGGUCAAUUGGCUUGGAUGGGCUCCCUCCAGGAAUGCCCUCAGCCACUGGUGUCCCAAUGUUCUGGUUGUGGCAGCUUUCCACCCGUUUCGCAGGCCUCUGCCCUCUUUCUAUUUGCUGAUGUCAAAUGUUAAUCUACUAAACAGGAUAUUUAAGGACAUUCAUGUGUUGAUGCAGCAUUCUGCUGGGGGUUACAGCUACUACAACUUGACACUGAUAACUGUACCUUACCUGUUUUCACUAUAUUUUUAUUCCUCAUUUUCGGCUGUAGCCACGUUAUUUUUGUGCACCCUAAUAAAAAAAAAAAAAUUGUAAUUCAUUGCACUGCUUUCAGUUGUGAGCAACGGGAAUUUAACCUUGGUCACCUGCGCAUUAUACCACAUUGCUCAUCAUUACACCACUGUGUUAUACUGUCGAGCUUAUAAUAAAAUGUCUUCAAGUUUUAAA